UACGUAGGGGGCGAGCGUUGUCCGGAUUUAUUGGGCGUAAAGAGCUCGUAGGCGGUUCGGUAAGUCGGCUGUGAAAUCUCCACGCUCAACGUGGAGGGGCCAUUCGAUACUGCCGUGACUCGAGUCCGGUAGGGGAGUGUGGAAUUCCCGGUGUAGCGGUGAAAUGCGCAGAGAUCGGGAGGAACACCCGUAGCGAAGGCGGCACUCUGGGCCGGUACUGACGCUGAGGAGCGAAAGCGUGGGGAGCGAACAGG
rnacentral:rRNA from 1 species